rnacentral:rRNA from 1 species
CGGUGUUCAACUGGCGUGUCCGCGGGACGUCCUGCCGGUGGGCUUAGCCCGCAAGGGCGGCCCAACUUCAAAUCCCAUCGCGGUGCUCUUCACUGAGUGUCGAGGUGGGCCGGCACGUUUACUUUGAACAAAUUAGAGUGCUUAAAGCAGGCUAAAACUUCGCCUGAAUACUGUGUGCAUGGAAUAAUGGAAUAGGGCCUCGGUUCUAUUUUGUUGGUUUUCGGAACCCCGAGGUAAUGAUUAAUAGGAACGGAUGGGGGCAUUCGUAUUGCGACGUUAGAGGUGAAAUUCUUGGAUCGUCGCAAGACGGACAGAAGCGAAAGCAUUUGCCAAAAACGCUUUCAUUGAUCAAGAACGAAAGUUAGAGGUUCGAAGGCGAUCAGAUACCGCCCUAGUUCUAACCAUAAACGAUGCCAGCUAGCGAUCCGUCGACGUUCCUCCGAUGACUCGACGGGCAGCUUCCGGGAAACCAAAGCUUUUGGGUUCCGGGGGAAGUAUGGUUGCAAAGCUGAAACUUAAAGGAAUUGACGGAAGGGCACCACCAGGAGUGGAGCCUGCGGCUUAAUUUGACUCAACACGGGAAACCUCACCAGGCCCGGACACCGGAAGGAUUGACAGAUUGAGAGCUCUUUCUUGAUUCGGUGGGUGGUGGUGCAUGGCCGUUCUUAGUUGGUGGAGCGAUUUGUCUGGUUAAUUCCGAUAACGAACGAGACUCUAGCCUGCUAACUAGGCGUAUUUUCGACAUCUCAAAGGUCCGUCGUCCCGGCCCUCGGGUCGUGGGCGUGCGCGAUUUUUACUGUCGGCGUACUAUCAAUUCUUCUUAGAGGGACAGGUGGCUUCUAGCCGCACGAGAUUGAGCAAUAACAGGUCUGUGAUG